AGCCUACUUGGAUUGGUAAGGCUUCUUGUUCUAGUUUUUACCGUUGUUUUAUUAUAUCUAGAAUUUAAGUUCUCUCAAAAACUUUCUAAUUAGUUUUGUUAUUUAGACUGAUGCAUUAUGUUUCAUAGUGGCAAGAUGCUACGCUUUAAUAAUCCAAGCAAGGCCUAGGUGCUGACUUCUAGGUCAUAUCCCUUUAUUUUAUUGUUAUUUCAAUUUUGUUCUGGUUGUCCUGCGUCAGGUAGCCUACUUGGAUUGGUAAGGCUUCUUGUUCUAGUUUUUACCGUUGCUUUAUUAUAUCUAGAAUUUAAGUUCUCUCAAAAACUUUCUAAUUAGUUUUGUUAUUUAGACUGAUGCAUUAUGUUUCAUAGUGGCAAGAUGCUACGCUUUAAUAAUCAUUCUUUUUUGAAGUAUUUCCAUUUUUUUUGUAUUAUAUUUUGGGAUAUCCUUAAGGAAGUCGAAACAAUCUGCUUCUGUUAAUAAGUAUUUGAAGUUAGCUUCUUUGACUUGGAAACAGGACCUGGUUAGGGAGCUAUAAUCUCCUGAAGUGGCUGCUCAAAUUUCAACUGAUACACUGAUAUGGCCUCAUGUAACACAUGGACGAUAUUUGAUCAAAAUAGCCUACCAAUUGCUGCAUGCAUUGGAAGUAAGGGAUCAGGUAUUCAAAAGCCUAUGAUAUACAAGUGGUGGAUCAAAGUAACUGCUGGAGAGUGAGUACCAGCACUAGUGUAUCUAGUUGUGGAGGAGUUACUAACAGUUGAGGAGCACUAGCAGAGAGAUUGCAAAUGGAUUGGUUUUGUCCCUAUGCAGCAAAAUCAAGUUUUGGCAGGAAUAAUUAUUGUAGUCUGUUGUAGUUACUGCCAUUUGAAACUGAAUGGAAGCUCAAUCCCUGACCAUUCAAAGUGCAUUAACAAAGACUGAUUGAAGACCACUAGUGCAUGGAAGUUGGAAAACGCUAGUGGUUCAUAUAUGCUGUGCUUGGGGGAGUCACUGCAAAGGCAAUGGCCCUGCUACUCUCGCUUCAAAGUCUUAUGAACAUCUUUUGGGGCUUGUAACUUUACUACCAGCCAACUCUUACUGCAUUUUUGUACCAAAAAACCAAAGGCAGAAAAAAGGCUAUAUUUGCACCUUUUUUGGACUAAUUUAUGUCAAACGUCUGCAUGCAAUUUAUUAACAUUUUAAGAUAGGAAUUAAAAUUUCUCGUACUUGUUCAAAGUUUUGGUAUACUUUGAUUGUUGUUUUUAUUUUCUCCCACAAUGCAAAAUAUUAUAUUUUUUCUUGACA